GCGGACGUGGCUCAGUUGGUAGAGCAUCACCUUGCCAAGGUGAGGGUCGCGGGUUCGAAUCCCGUCGUCCGCUCUA
rnacentral:tRNA from 1 species